GGGCCCGCACAAGCGGUGGAGUAUGUGGUUUAAUUCGAUGCAACGCGAAGAACCUUACCAGGGUUUGACAUCCUGCGAAUCUCUUGGAAACGAGAGAGUGCCUUCGGGAACGCAGUGACAGGUGGUGCAUGGCUGUCGUCAGCUCGUGUCGUGAGAUGUUGGGUUAAGUCCCGCAACGAGCGCAACCCACGUCUUUAGUUGCCAGCAUUUAGUUGGGCACUCUAGAGAGACUGCCGGUGAUAAACCGGAGGAAGGCGGGGAUGACGUCAAGUCCUCAUGGCCCUUACACGCGGGGCUACACACGUGCUACAAUGGCAGUGACAAUGGGAUAAUCCCAAAAGCUGUCUCAGUUCAGAUUGUCCUCUGCAACUCGAGGGCAUGAAGUUGGAAUCGCUAGUAAUCG
rnacentral:rRNA from 1 species